UUGGUGGCGACCGGCGCACGGGUGAGUAACGCGUAUCCAACCUGCCCUUUACUAUGGGACAGCCCGUCGAAAGGCGGAUUAAUACCGUAUGUUGUCAUGUUGAUGCAUAUUUUCAUGACCAAAGGCUUCGGCCGGUAAAGGAUGGGGAUGCGUCUGAUUAGCUUGCCGGCGGGGUAACGGCCCACCGGGGCGACGAUCAGUAGGGGUUCUGAGAGGAAGGUCCCCCACAUUGGAACUGAGACACGGUCCAAACUCCUACGGAAGGCAGCAG
rnacentral:rRNA from 1 species